rnacentral:rRNA from 1 species
AGUGAACGCUGGCGGUAGGCUUAACACAUGCAAGUCGAACGGCAGCACAGUAAGAGCUUGCUCUUACGGGUGGCGAGUGGCGGACGGGUGAGGAAUAUAUCGGAAUCUACUCUUUCGUGGGGGAUAACGUAGGGAAACCUACGCCAAUACAGCAUACGCCGCACGGGUGAAAGCAGGGGAUAUUUGGACCUUGUGCGAUUGAAUGAGCCGAUGUUGGAUUAGCUAGUUGGCGGGGUAAAGGCCCACCAAGGCGACGAGACGUAGCUGGUCUGAGAGGAUGAUCGGCCGCACUAGAGCUUAGACACGGACCAGGCUCCUACGAGAGGCAGCAGUGGGGAAUAUUAGACAGUAGUGGCGAACCUGAUCCAGCCGUACCGCGUGGGUGGAGGAGGCCUUCCGGUUGUGAAGCCCUUUUGUUGGGUAAGAAAAGCAGCAGGUUGAGACCCCGCUUUUCUGACGGUACCCGGUAAAUAAGCACCGGCUAACUUCGUG